UGUAGUAUUUCAGUCAGAUAUAGCUACGGUGAAAGUUGAGCACUCAAUUCCGUGUAUAUUUGUUCAACGUUGUAUAUACUAAUUAUCACCCAAACAAUAUCGAUCGGCCGGUUUGAUUAUUUCACUACGAUAUUAUAUAUUUGAUUCAUGUCGCAUUUCUCAUGAUUUGCAAGAAGGACAUCCAAUACAAAACGGAAUUAAUGCAUGUCUGAAAGAACAAUCAUAUUCUGCCGAUAUGUAUAUAGACCUUUGGUUUUCAUUGCGAUAUCAAUUUAUUAAUUUUUUAUGCCCCACAUAGGGGCAUUAUGUUUUUCGGUCUGUACGUUCGUUCAUCCGUUCGUCCGUCCGUCCUGCUUCAGGUUAAAGUUUUUGGUCAAGGUAGUUUUUGAUGAAGUUGAAGUCCAAUCAACUUGAAACUUAGUACACAUGUUCCCCAUGAAAUGAUCUUUCUAAUUUUAAUGCCAAAUUAGAGUUUUGACCCAGUCAAUUUCACGGUCCACUGAACAUAGAAAAUGAUAGUGCGAGUGGGUCAUCCGUGUACUAUGGACACAUUCUUGUUACCUCCUGAAUGGAUACAUUAUUUGGAAACAUGGUCAUAUUCUACGUGACUGACAUAUAUAUAUUCUUUUUUUAAAAUGUUUCUCGUAAAUAUGCUUCCGAAUGCAAUUGUUUGAACCACGAAGUCCGAUAAGUUCGAAAUAUGUUUAAAACAUUCAAAAUAUAAAAAAAAAACGUGGAAUUUUUCGAACUUAUCAGAUUUAAACAUGAUAGUUAUCCUGUUUGAUGCUCUACUGUAAAAAUAACAUUAAGGAUUAUCCUCUUUUGCAAAAAGCUGUCAAUGAGGACAAGAGAUUACAUUAUCUUUUAGUUGUUCGCUUAUAACUGCGACUUUGAAAGGUGUAUAAUGUAUGAAUUAAUAAUGUAUGAGAUAUAAAACCAAUUAUAUGAUAUUACCUUUUACUCUAAUAUAAACUCCGAUUCAACGUUAUAGUGUGAAUUCAUUCAAAUAUGACAAUAAACUAGUUGUAUUCAAUUAUGUUAAGAGGUUCGCAAAUACUAACAACUCGUAUAAGAAAAUCAUAAUUUGUACAAAAUCACAACAUAUAUUAGAUUUAGUCUUCUCAUAUCUGAAUGGCGUCAGCCACGAAGAUAUCAGACGACUGCAUCUAAUUAACAUAGAAGUGGUAAAAAAUUAUUUGAUUUUAUCUUUCAUUCUAAAAAAACUUUCAGAAGAUGUUUUAUAAUUAUGGAUUAGGAAUGAAAUCUUAAUUGCUGCUACUUUUCUGUCAUCAAAUCGAUACCUUAUUCCUACUUUUGUAUGGCAAUAUAAAUCACUAUAAUGUCUUGUUUUUUACUGGUAUAUUUGUCAAAACCUGAAUUUUUUGAUAAAUGAUAAAACUUCUAUGUAAAUAAAUAUAUAUAUAUACAAGAAACUUUGCCAUCUCCCUACCGAUUCAUAAUGCCACUGAGGCACAAUUUUAUGUCAAAUCCUAGCAAAAUUAUUACUGAAUCGAAAAUUAUAGAAAAUUCUUUUUAAGUAUGCAGUAAUUGAAACAUGUCAACAUGUAAGCACAUUUAAUUACAUUUGAACACAAACAAAAUUCAUCAUUUACACCAGAUGAAAACGUUUUAAACCCCAGAAUCUUUAAAUCUAUCAGCUAAAAUUUUGUCCAUUUACUAUUUAUAGCUGACUAAAAGAAUGAACGUUUAUUCAUUGUCACCCUGAAAAUAACAGUGCUUAAAAUAUUUAACACUGGACGUGUAGAAUUAAGCAAUUUGAAUAACAAUCUUUUUUUUUCGUCAGCCAACUGGUCUUGUGUUCAAUUGAGUAAACAGCACGUCCGUACUUUGAUGUAGACUUUUAAAUCGUCACUUCAAAAUUCAAAACUUGAUAAGCAACUAAUUGAGACAAGACAGACCUACUAUACAUGACCCGUUCUUUUCCAGAUGACCUUGUUUUACAGGGUCAAUGACCGAUUUGUAUAAUCUGAAUGGUUCAUGGUCAAAUGCUGGCCUUGGUUCGACAAGUAAAAGUGGGUUUAAUGCUGGUUAAUAAACCAAGCAGUGACAAAGGACCUGGUCAUCUUUGUGCUUAGUGAAUUCAAUCGACGGUGGCCUUUAUAUUCCAAGUGUUUGUUAUGUUGCUCAACUUUAGUAUAAUGGGCAAUUGCAUAACAGACUGCAUAAGAACAUUUAAAACAAAACAAACAAGGCGCCUUUUUUUGUACCAAUUUCCCGGUUUUAACAUUAAAUGUUAUUAUAUAGUAAUUUUAACAGAUUGUACAACUUUUGAGUGUGUGUAUACAUGUAUAUAUAUGAUUUUUGGAUGAAAUGCGGAUACAACACGUGACUCGGUCCAAAUAAAACUAUAAAAGAAUCUUCACAAACCCAAAUGUAGCUAAUAACAUCAAGGCACCAAUUUUACUGCAACAGAUGCGCAUUUCGACAUUAAUAAAUGUCACUUCGAUGAUGCUUGAAUUCAAGUUGGUUAACUAGGACGAUUUCAGUAACGUUACAAAGUAGUGUUAGUUGAUCUAAAUGUCGUACUAGAAAUGUGUAAGCCUCAGCAACAUAUAAAACAAAUCUUGAAAGCUUUUUCAUAUAUUUUUUUUUAAUUAACAAACUGCUUGCUUAGAAUUUAAAAUUGAAAUAUACCAAAUUAAGCCUAAGAGCAACAACACAAAUCUAUUGACUUGUGUUUGCUUAACGUCCAGUGGCAAAUUUUUCAUGCAUAUUAAGGACAAGACAAACAUAUUAUUUGGCCUUCAUAUACAUGUUCAUGUACGUAUUCAUUCUUUAAAUUUAAAUAAGAGCAGAUAAGCUUCGUCAUAUUUGUAUUCUUUUAAAGUAACAACCCUGUUUCAUGUUGGUUAUUUCUGUUGAUUGUUGCUAUAUCCUCAUUUUAUGAUACAAAUUGGGUGUUGAUUUCAGUUCUCUUGUCGUAUUCCCAACUCUAGAUUACUGGCAAUGAGUCCCAAAUUUGGCAUGUGGUUAAAGUUGCUUGCCUGAAAGACGGCUGUAACUGUUGAUCUCUUUAACUUCUUUAUUUUGCGAACUUGUAUUGUUGCUGUAAUGCCUUAUUGUUUUAAUAUAUUUUUAAAAAAACUGAUCCAUCAAUGUAUUAAAUCUUGGCUGCUAUUAAAAAUAUCAAAAUUUUGUAUUUAAGGUAGAUGGGAUCUUGAUUAAACACGAUACAAAUGCCAAAAUGUACUAGUAGUUUAUAUCAUGCUUUCUUAAAAAAAUAUUAAAAAAAAUAUGUCACUGAGAUUUUUUCAAGCUACAGGUUGUGCAAAAGUGACAUAUUUUGUAAGGAUUAUACAUGUGAAAGCGCUUUUGUGAGAAAAGAAAGAAACGAUAAAACGUUAGAAUUCUAAAAUAUAUAUGAGAAGAUUGCUCUGAUAAUGUGAUUUCAGAAAAAAAAAAUUGAUCACCGUCCCUCGUUUUCUGCUACAUUACAAAACAGUAGAUUUACUGUACAUUCCUUUUUUAAGAUAGUUUUUUGAGGUAUCACUCAUUACGAAACAAAUUUGAUGAAAACAUUUAUUUAUAUAAAAGUUACCAUAAGAUGAAAUCGUAAGAGCAUCAAACUUGCUAAUUUCAGUAAAAAUCUAGACAGAUCAUUUGCAGCUAUUUACAGUCAAAUAUAUAAUUUAGAUCAUGAUAGUAAUCCCCCCCUUAACACACAAUCGACUUUAUUUCGUAUAUAGAAUGAAAUGAUUUACUCUCUUUCAACUUUUAUUUGAGUGCUUUGAACAAAACUUUCUUUUUAGUUGAAGACAGUCUUUUAAAAUAUAAAUAAGUUCUUGCAUUGAAUUCAAUUCUCCAUUCAUUAUGAUGACUGUAAACUAUAUCAAAUAACUCCAAUAAUUGUUCUGUUCAUUUAUUUCAUGUACUAUCUGAUUAGUUUUCAAGGACUACGUUUGAAAUAAAAGGAAUAGGUAGACAAAUUCCUUACAUCAAGUAAUUAAUACAAGGAAACUUAGAAAUUCAGGAAUCAAACAGAUUGGUAAAUAAAAAUAUAGAUAUUAAACAGAAUUGAAAGUUAUCAUUCAAUUGAAUUAACAGUCGUGUAUGUUGUACCGAAUGUGAUUUUUAUUUUGUUCAAUUCUUCUUGACACAGUCCUUUAUCUGUUAGUUCAUAAGUUCAUGAGACAUAUGCGUUUAUAUUAACUGACGUUUCACUUUGUUCAAACUAGAUAGUCGAUUUCAACAUGUUAAAUGUGGUAUCUUUGCUGGGUUUUCUUGGAGUAUGUUCAGCUCAUCUCUGUUUACUAGAACCUCAUCAGAGGGGCAGUUUGGCUGAUCCUCUCACUGCUGCUAAUCCUGACUGUCAUCUAAGAACAGCCCCUUGUGGUGGCAGGAAUGCAGAUGCAAAGCCUUCAGCAAGUUAUCAGAAAGGUACCAAUGUUGCUGUUACAUGGCAGAAAAAUUUCAGUCACUAUAACUCGAAGCAGCCAGGAAUUAUGGAAGUGUCAUUGAUAAGGGACACCGUUCCUUUUGAGGUUGUUACAACUGUCAAGGUGAACGACGACCACUUCAAUAAACAACAGAACUACACCAGAAAUCUGAUGAUUCCAGACAAUUACCAUGGUCAUCAUGGAAUUGUACAAGUUGUUUACAAAUCAAAUUCCUUAGAUGCAACUGGCACUCAGUAUACAUUUUAUUCCUGUGCUGAUAUUACUGUCACGUAACAAUAUAUAUAUGACUUUGUUCUAAAUCAUAAAAUCCAUAAGGCAUCUUAUUAAAGUGCAGAUCUAGA